rnacentral:rRNA from 1 species
UACGUAGGGGGCAAGCGUUAUCCGGAUUUACUGGGUGUAAAGGGAGCGUAGACGGCGAUGCAAGUCUGAAGUGGAAGGCGGGGGCCCAACCCCCGGACUGCUUUGGAAACUGUAUGGCUGGAGUGCAGGAGAGGUAAGUGGAAUUCCUAGUGUAGCGGUGAAAUGCGUAGAUAUUAGGAGGAACACCAGUGGCGAAGGCGGCUUACUGGACUGUAACUGACGUUGAGGCUCGAAAGCGUGGGGAGCAAACAGG